AAAAAUACUUCCUAUCCUAUCGCUGCACGCUCUUUCCUCCUCUGUGCAUGUUGUAAUAACGCUUGUUCUUGACUGAAAGAGCAGCUCUAACCGUCACCACGUCAAGAAUCAGAGAACAAGGUUGCUCAAGCAAUGGGGAGGCUGGCAGGAGACCGUGAUGUUUUGGUGGAAAAUGAAGCCCUUUGGGAGGUGCAGAACAUGUGUGCAUAUGGGAUGUGCAGAUCUAUGAAGUCUCUCCCCACUGGCUGCAGCUCGAGCACACCAGCUCAUCUGCCACUCUACUCCAGCACUGCAAAACCACUCUACACUACACAAGUAUUGGAGUAACUCAGUCAUGCCAAUUUGAACAGGAAACAUAAGCUGAGGAAGAAAAAUUUUAUUUCUGUUUAACAUUAGACAAUAAAAAAUAAUGUGCAAAAAAAGCAUUGAAUUGCAAUUAGAAAUGACUGACAUGAAGGUAUCAGUCUCAAGUGGUUUGCUGUGUUUGAUGUUGAUAAGGGAAUUCAUUUGCAUUUAACCAAGUUUCUUCUUCUUCUGACACACGGUUUUGGCCUCAUUUACCAACCGCUUCACCUCAGGUUUAAAGCUUCUUUCAGCAUUCAACCAUUAGUAGAUGUUCCAGCAAGAAUAAAAAAAUUCUAUUUAUGGUAUUUAGAAUUCUUUUUUGCAAAUUUCUAUUUGUUUCAUCCUCUCUGUCAGACAAAUGAUUGAAUUUAUCAGCUUUAUGGGAGGCAGCCAUGACAGUUUAAAUACAUUCCCCAUAUACAAGUGAU